rnacentral:lncRNA from 1 species
AGCGAAGAGCAGUCAGCGAGGUCCUGCAGGUCUAUGGUGGUGAGGGCUGCGCGGGGAGACCGGGAGACACGCGCCGGGCGGGCCCUGAGCCUCUCCGCCAGGCUCGCAGCUAGGACGUCAGAGCCCGGGGGAGAGAAGCUCCUCCGAGCUGUGCGCGCCGCACCCUCCCGGCGCGGGGAACCCGAGGGGUAGCGUGGGUGCCACGGGGCUCACCUGGCAGCGCUGUGGGCUCGGCGUCCGGGGGAUCCUCGUACACCGACACCGGGCUCCCGCCUGUGCAUCCGGGGAAGAACUUCCGCGGAGGAGCGAACUGGCCGGGCACACAAACGUUGAACGCGGGUCAGCCCUCGGGGCACCGAGCGCGCAGACCCCGCCCGGCCCGAAUCAACCGCCCCACCUUCCUCUCCGGCUUCCCCGGCUUGCAGAGCAGCGCCCGGCCCGGCAGUGCCAGCAUUCUGUUGGGGCAGAUGCUGUCGAAGGCCCGACGGCCGGCCGCGCCGCCCCCGCACGCCUGCAUUGUGCCUCCUGCCUCCGGGUGCCGACUGCUCGGAGGCGGCGGCCCGGGCUGGGGCAGCGAUCCACACCCUGCACUCCCUUCAGUGCCUGCAGGCUCCGAAGCCAGCCAGAGGUUGGGGCAGGCGCGUGACCGAGAAGGAGCCGAGGGGCUGCCGAGGAGCCACAAGGCGCACGAAAUAAACGUGGAGUGACACCCGCCAGCGCUAGACUCCGGCCUUUGCGCUCCUGCAGGAUUUAGUAAGGAUGUAGAAUACCGGCAGGGAUGCCCUGGAACAGCCCCCUUAUUACAGAAGCCCCUUCCCUCAAACCUGAACCUUAUCCUGGGUCCUGACUUAUGGAUUUCCACGUGGUCUCUUUUGGCCUGACGCCAAGAGCCCGCCCCGCUCCCCAAGCCCCGCACUCUUCUCGGCAGUGGCGCGUGAGCACAGCCUUUAAAAGACCGUCCGUUAAGAAAAAGUGACACUACGAACCCUCCUCCACUUUCUGAAAACGCCACAGUGGAAAGUACCGAAUCCCCGAAAACCCUGUUCCUGUCUUUCCUAGUGGCCUCAGCGGCCCAUCGCCACGUUUGGCUGGUCUCUUCGCAGUCGUAGUUGCCAUUCCCAAGCCAACACCUCUCCAAGGAAUGGGCAUUUUCCUGAGUCCGAGGCAUCUCCUAGGGAGGGGCAUCCUUAGGCGAGGGACCUUUCUCAGUACCACUCAUAUUCAUCCAAUUUGAACAGUCGUCUGAAAUUGGAAUCUUUGUGUACCCACCCCCCUAUGUUGGGCACCUUGUUUUCCCCUUAUACCUAGUAGUCGUAGUGAAAGAGCCUCUAGUAAGAAACAAGAUACCCUAACAGCGGUGGAAGGUAAUCCAAUGGUAGAGCUGGAAUAGAGUGAGAGACUCUCUGACCCAGGAGUAGAUGCAGAAACUGAAUUGAUGUGAGGUCAGCCAGCUAGAGUUGGUGUGGUAUGGCUCAUGGUGAGGAGCUCUGGCUUUAGGGUCAGAGUGCCUGAGGACCAGGUCCAUGAGCCCUAGGUCUUUAGGAAAAAAAGUUACACUGGCCUCAAUAGAGUUGCUGUGAAGAUGAGUGAGAUUAUUUAUGUAAAGUGACUGGUGCUUAGUAUGGGUAAAUUAGUGAUUUUUUAAAAGCCUUUUCAGCUGUAUUUCCAGCUUCCCACAACUUGUUCCUAGCCCUGUCUCCUGUUUCCUCUGGUUUCUGAGUAGCACGACCACUAGCCAGUCCAUCUCCAUCUCCAUCCCCAUCCUCACCCACUUUCCAGCCUUUAAAAUGAGUAGGGAAGCUCUUAGCUGAGUUUUGGGGCGAUCUCCACACAUGCAGAUCGUCACAAAAUUUCCAGGAUAGGCCCAUUUUCCAAAUAUUCGUCAAUGAGUUCUAAGUUGGAGUAGACAAAAAUAUGGGCAUUGCACAUUAUCUGUUGUAACAGGAACUGGAAUAGCAUGAUUAUAUGACUCCUAGUGUGGAUGAUUCUGGAACCAGUAACUCAUAGCAGUCUUGGCUGAUUAAUGGAGCAGAUAUUGGUGAAGACAACUCCGCGCAAAGUCACUCUUUUGCCUGGGGACCAGACCCCAACCCCUUACAACCAAGCAGAGGGCCCUAAUAAUUUGUUAUUUGAAACAGGUGAUAUGAUCUUCCUCCUCCCUUUUCACCAUCACAGAGCAGCUUUUACACAAAUAGCUUGGGGAUCACCACGUCCUUCUUCCACAGCCAAGGAGGAGAAAGUUCCUAGAAAGUUUAGCAUAGCAAUAUGUCAGAAGAGGCAUUCAAGGGGCCCAGAGUAAGGCACUCCUGGCUCCGAGAACACCUGGAAGACACACUUUGAGAGAAGUGCAAAGAAGUUUCUCUAAAUUUGAGUUUGCUUUUUAUUUGUAUUUGUCAUACAUUUUGAUAUACCCUAGGUGCAGGGGAACAUGACAGAUUUUCCCCCAAAAAAUUAUCACUUUUUUCAACCAUACAGAAAAUUUGAAAAAACAGUACGAUGAACAACCAUAUGUUCAACCCCACACAAAUUGUUAUUUUCCCAUAUUUGCUCUCGUUUCUUUGCUCCAAGUUUUUCUGCAUAGCCCCUGUCCUCCCAUCACUGUGCAGGUUACCACUAGCCUUUAUUUCUUGAGGGCUUCCUAUGUGCUGGGGGACCAGUAUGGACCAUCUCAUUAGAGCUAUACUUCCACCCUACUAAAUAGGCCCUAUUGAUAUUCCCAUUUUAUUUUUUUAUUUUGAGACGGAGUCUCACUCUGUCGCCCAGGCUGGAGUGCAGUGUUGCAAUUUCAGCUCACUGCAAGCUCCGCCUCCCGGGUUCACGCCAUUCUCCUGCCUCAGCCUCCCGAGUAGCUGGGACUACAGGCACCUGCCACUAUGCCCAGCUAAUUUUUUGUAUUUUUAGUAGAGAUGGGGUUUCACCGUGUUAGCCAGGAUGGUCUCGAUCUCUUGACCUCGUGAUCCGCCCGCCUUGGCCUCCCAAAGUGCUGGGAUUACAGGCGUGAGCCACCGCGCCCGGCCGAUAUUCCCAUUUUAUAGAUGAAACGUAGGCAUAGAUAUGUGACUUGCUUAAGGUCACCUGGCAAAUUGGAUACAGAACCCACUUACUGAAUCACUAUACUACCUUAUAACACGUAAACUUAAUCUCAUUUAAGCUUUUCAAUCUCAUUUAGACUGACAACAACCUUGAUAUCAAUUGUAGAGCUCAGAGAGGAUAUGAAAUUUGCUAGAGGUGACAGAGCUGAGAGAUUCAGUGCCUGCAUCAGAUUCGUAACAGUGAGACUGAAGACAAUAUGACAGGCGGAGUCAAAACUCCGGCAAGCCUCUGUCUCAUUUCUCAAUUUGGUUUUCUCAUCUGUAAAACGAUUCCUGUAACGUGACUGAGGUACAGACUGCGCUGGCUCUCCAGAUGUGUUCUCUAUAGUCCCUACUGAAUGGGGAGCACUGAGUAAAUAACUGCCACCUAUCUCAGGAAGAGGGUGUUUUGAGAAUUACCAGAAACCUGUAAGUGGGGGACAUUUAGCAGUGUGGCUAAGAGUGGGACUCUAGACUCAGAUCCCGGCUACUCCACUGUUGUUUAAUGGUUCUGUGCUCCAGCAUCCUCCUCUGAAAAAUGGGAUAAUAGACUCUGCUCCAUAGAGUUGCUGGAAGAAUGAAAUAAAUGCUGAACACAGUACUUAGGACAUACUUAAUGCUCAAUAUAGCCAUUAUGACUAUUAUGCCAGUUACUUUGGGCUCACAUGUCGUAGCAUGAACAGUUGGACCACGUGAUUGCAGGGUAAAUGGGCUCAACCUGCAAUGGCUGUGACCACAGUCAAAUCCUUGGUUUCCAACAUGCUCCAUUUGAACACGGGAUUUCUCAUGCCUGGAUAUGGCUUUCCCCCACUUCUGCUUGUGUGCCUGUGUGGUCCCCAAAGCUUCCCAGCCCCACAUCUGCCUCACCAGCAAGUGCAACCCUCUGGACAGCAUAGAGGUUCUAUUCGAGGGUCACAGGACCCAAGCCAUCAGGUAAGCCUGACUCCACUAAUCUCUGGAAUUCAGUAUCCAGGACCUCACCUGACCUGGUGUUUCCACAGAGAUCCCAAUUACAGAGUGGACCCAGAGGGAAGGGAAAAUCCCGCAAACGUUGCCAACCACCAUUCCUGAGCUGAAUUCACCUUCCCUCCCCGCAGACAGACACUUGCAGGAUUUAGACAAACCACAACUGUUUAUUGGUGAAAGACUCAGCUUCCUCAUGUGCUCGCUGCAAAAUAAAUAAAAUACCAGAUGCUAGUAUCGUACACUAUUUACAACCUGCAGCUGACCAAGCAGGUCCUGAAGCCUUCUCUGUGGACCAGUACUGCACUCUUCUGAGGCUACGGGAGAGGUCCAGCAGCCGGGCCAGGGACUAAAAGGAAACGAAGGAUCUGUUUUAUUUCGAGCUCGGGGGCAGGCUGCACUUCUCGCAGAUCUGAACGGGCAGCAUGUGAGUCAAGGAAGUACUGUUUAUGGCCACCAGCAGCUGCAACUUGCCCAUACAGUCCUCCAGCGCCGCCUCCGGGUGGUCUCCCAGUCGCAAGUCCACGGGCCGCGAGACCCGCAGCAUGCGGUCCGCCAGCGCCAGGCAGCAGAUCGCCAGGAGGGAAGGGGAGUAGCUGGUGAAGGCAUAGUCGGCCAGACUCAGCUCUGCCACCCCCCGCGCCAGGGCUUGCGCUUCCAGAGCUUCGGAGGCCUCAGCCUGCCCCGCCUCCACGCGAGCGUGCGUGAAAUGCUCCAGGAAGAAGCUAAUGGUGGGCGCACCCAGGGUGAAGUGCAGCUUGUGCAGCACGAUGCACUCGAGGUUGCAGAGCUGCUGCCGGGAGAAGGCGCCGCAGCAGAGGGCCAGAAGCUGCUUCACGCGCGGCGGGUGCACCUCCACCUGCAACACAGGGCGCACUCAACCCCGCUUUGCGGCUUCCCGGGCCCCAGGCCCACCCCAGUAUGACGCCCGGACUUUCCCCAUCCCUUCCAGAGAGACAGCCGGGGCUCUGCCUCUCCACUGCUUCCACGUAAGUGACCUAGAGCGUACUUCCAGC